rnacentral:rRNA from 1 species
CUGCUGCCUCCCGUAGGAGUCUGGUCCGUGUCUCAGUACCAGUGUGGGGGACCUUCCUCUCAGAACCCCUACGCAUCGUUGCCUUGGUGGGCCGUUACCCCGCCAACAAGCUAAUGCGCCGCAUGCCCAUCCUCCGCCGGAAUCACUUCCUUUUAACACCAGUGGGAUGCCCCACUGGUGUACCACGCGGUAUUAGUCCGGAUUUCUCCGGGUUAUCCCCCUGCGGAGGGCAGGUUGCAUACGUGUUACUCACCCGUGCGCCGGUCGCCGG